rnacentral:rRNA from 1 species
UACGAAGGGGGCUAGCGUUGUUCGGAAUUACUGGGCGUAAAGGGCGCGCAGGCGGCUUGUCGAGUUGGGCGUGAAAGGCCUGGGCUUAACCUGGGACAUGCGCUCGAUACUGGCAGGCUCGAGUGUGGGAGAGGAUGGUGGAAUUCCCAGUGUAGAGGUGAAAUUCGUAGAUAUUGGGAAGAACACCGGUGGCGAAGGCGGCCAUCUGGACCACAACUGACGCUGAGGCGCGAAAGCGUGGGGAGCAAACAGG